rnacentral:lncRNA from 1 species
CCAAAAUACAAAUAAGUGUCCUCUGUAAGUCUUGAAUUACACCAUGCAUAAUCAUUAAUUAUGUGUACACUAUUAGGAAUAAUCAUGCGAUUUUUCGUGUCGAUUUUAUUAAAUUUACGGCCAAAUUCAUCUGCGAAUGUCCUCGUGGACAUAACUUGUAGUAUACAAAAGAUAAAAAAUUAAACGAAGGAGAGGGAUACCAAAGACAGAUUCAAAUAAUAGUCGAAAAUAAACUGACAACGCUGGAACGAAAAAAACGACACAAAACACAAUCACAGUUACAGAAAAUAGCUUUGAAAACAAAAGACUCGGGUAUAAUCGAAUCCUACUCAACACAGCUAUACAGAAACCAAGUAACAAUAGGAUAGUUACAGCAAAAACAAUCUACACUUUUUUUUUUAUAAAUGUUCGUGUCAUAAAUAGUUGUUUUACCUAUAUAAGUUAAUUGAUGUAAUGUCUUCAUACAUACGAAUACAUAUUCUGAUAUGCCAAACAAAACGGUAAAAUCAAUUUUUUCUGGUAUGCCAGGCUUUUGGUUACAAAUUUUUCACUAUUCAAGAAGCUUGCACAUCCUACUCAGACUUUGUAAACGCACCAGUGUGCUGAGCAGAAAAGUUGAUGGAACUCAGGUGGUAUGUCAAAAACGUCUCGUCCUUUACUAAAAGCUGUUCAUUUGAAGGUUACCAGACAUUGCUGAUCAAUAUUCCGAAUCAACUUAACAAAUAUUACAUGAUGUCUUUGCAUGGUGUUAAGUUCUGGCGUAAUAACGUUGUGUAUCAUUUUAUGACGUGUUAUAUUGUUCGUCUAUUUGUUUUUAAUAAAGUUAAUAUGACUUUUUANNNNNNNNNNNNNNNNNNNNNNNNNCUGUUUUGUCUAUUUUUGUGAUACAUGUAUCUAUUUGACGUUGCUUGGUCCUAUUAUCCGUCAAUGUGUUGUUGUAUCAUCUUUUAUUUUUGACAAUAGUCUUUGUCCGUGUGACUUUUUGUGUUUCUCUGAGCAUAUGACGUGGUUCUGUACUUUAAAAAAUCCCGCCAUAAUUGUAUUGUUCUAUUAUGAUUUUUUCAUACUUUGAAAGACAAAAUUGUUUUAUGUCUCUACCUGUGUCACGUUUACAUUCUGACGUCAAACACGCGAUUCUAUACCAUUGAUAUAAUUAGCCAAUUGCUCACAGGAUAUAUGCUUUUUGUGCCUCUUUAUUUAAUAUUUGUUUGAUUUUGUUCUGAUUGAGAUUGUGACACAGUGAUGACUGCUGUAUCCCUAUUUUGAAAAUUUUAUCUAUUAAUGUCUGAUUUGUUCUCGCAUCGUUGUUUUCUCUUAUUUUUGAGUUUAAAUUCACAUUGCGAUAAGACGUGUCUAUCCCAACUUCAUGUAUACUGAGCCAAAAAUGUUUAGCAACACUUUUUUUUUGAAUUUUUUUUGGUUGUUUUUGUUGUUUUUUUUUAUCAAACAUCAUUGAUAUAAUCCUUAGUUUUAUCUGGAUUUUUAAGCAGUCGUACUUUUUUCCACGUGAUUAAUUUCGCGCCAUUUCAGCUUUGCGCGUGUAAUUGAUGUUUUACCUUCUGUACUUAUACUUUUAAAACGAAAUUUAAUUUUUUUUGCACCAGCGUUCAGAAACACACCAUUGGUAAGAAAAACACAUAAACGUUUGAAAAAAUUGCAUGGGACGUCAAUCAGGCCUCUCCGAAAAUGACCGUCAGAUGGCUCUUGGAAUGGUUGAUGCCGACAUGAGUGUUGCUGACGUCUUGGCUCGAUUUAAUGUGCAUAAGUCAACAGUUUAGGGACUAAAAAACAGAUAUCAACAAAUUGCAACAGCACAGGAUAGGUCGAUAUGUCGUAGAACAAAAACAACCAUCGUCAAGAGAGAAGCACUACCUUCGCUUUACGUCAACGGAAAGUUGUGGCCACAAGAGUAGUGCAUUGACUAAGGGCAGCUCUGGUGUGCUGCCAAUCUUAAUUGAUGCCCUUAAAGCAUGGCCGAGAAAUUGAUUUUGAAUAACACUAUACUCAUUUCAGCUUUUUGACCCUCCCGCGCUCCAUACAAAAAAAUAUCAUAAUGAAUAUGAGUGUUAAACAUUCAUGUUGCUUCUGACAUGUCAUAAUUCCAUUUUUUUAUUAUCAAAAUUAUAUGUUGUUAUGAUUUUUUAAUAAAAUUUAAUUUUAUAUUUAUGUUGCUAAACUUUUUUGGCUCAGUAUAUUUGGUUUUGAUGUUAUAUUUAUAUGUUAUAUUUGUUAUUCUCGUGGGAUUUUGUAUAUGUGUGUUACAUUUUAGUGUUAUGUCGUUGUUCUCCUCUUAUAUUUAAUGCGUUUCCCUUGGUUUUAGUUUGUUACCCCGAUUUUGUUUUUUGUCCCUGGAUUUAUGAGUUUUGAACAGCGGUAUACUACUGUUGCCUUUAUUUAAUAUAAUAGAAUUUGAUGCAACUAUCAUACAAGUGACAUGUUUAGCGCUAUAAAACCAGGUUCAAUCCACCAUUUAUACAUAGGAAAAUGCCUGUAUCUAGUCAAGAAUAUGACAGUCGUUGUUCAUUCGUUUGAUGUGUUUUAUCUUUUGAUUUUGCCAUUUUUUGAAAUUGUGGACUUUCCGUUUUAAAUUCUCCUCGGAGGUCAGUAUUUUUGAGAUUUUACCUUUUUUCUUCUGGUACGCCUUUUGUUACUAAUAUUCGGGAAAUAAAAUUUACAUAUUGUUUUAUUUAGAAAAACAGAAUAAUAUAUGUACUAGCAAUUUUCUCUCGGUCAAUAAAAUGACUUCGCAUUAGACACGAAAGGCACAUAUAUCAUUAAAUGUUUGUAGUAAGGAAAAUGGAAAUACAUUUAUAUGAAAACGCAUAUCAUAUUAAAUAUAUUUAGUGUUCCCUAUCGGCAUGAUGAAUAGUCACGCGAUAGCUCGCGUUUUGGAGAAGAAUAUAGUGACAAGGGUUAACGACUAUGUUAUAGUAUGUUAUUGACAUAAUAGUCCUUGAAAAACUGGUCAUUAUCGUGAUAUAUGGACUACCAACAGGACAGUUGUAUUGCAAAGAUAGUGAUAAUGACUGAGCCGAAGGCGAGGUCAUUAUCACUGUCACAGUCAAUACCACGUACUGUCCUACGGGCAGUCCAUGUAUCACGAUAAUCACCAGUUCUUCAAAAACUAUAAUGUUUAUUUCAUUGAGGAACCAUAUUUUUAAAAAUUCUCAUAAAUUCAAAAUGUCCAAAGCUCGAGUAGUUACAUGCGAUUUCUAUGACAAAGAUUGAAGACCAGUCGUAGUAAUACUUUCUUUUAGUUCAUUUUUUCAGUAUAUGAAUACUAAAUGAAGUUCUCUAUAUUUUAUAAUUUACGAAAACAUAGAGUAAACAAUUCAACAACUUAAAUAUUAUAUUGAAAACAGGUAAAUGUUUUAUUAAAGGGACAUCUCUCUAAACAGAUAAACCACGCCCAAACGGUCAUUAACAACCGGAAACCACGCCCCAAACGGUCAUUAACAGACGGAAACCACGCCCCUUUGGUCAUUAUCAUGUAAAAAUCCGUUAAUGACCAAGUGUCUGGUCCGUUUCGUUCUGUUAAUGACCGAUGGAAUUUAUUACUGAAGAAUAAUGAAUGUCAUGUGGUCCCUUUUUAUCUAAUAAAAGAAGCUUAUUCUUAACUGAUAUGAAAUAAAUUGAUAUAUAUGUUCAUAUGUCUGAUUGAGAUUAGAUAUGUGACACCAUACAUGGAGAAUAUAUAGAGGUGUGGAUGAGUUUCUAAUAUCUUUCAGAUCCCCCAAAGGUUGCUGUAGAACAACUGCAGAAUGGCUCAAUAUUCUGCAAUGUAUCUGGAGUUCCUAAUAAUUAUACAUUUUCAAAAUGGGAACACAGAUCUUCAAAUGGUGAUUUUUUGCGCGAACUCGAUGAUGAAGGAUCGAGUUUGCUUACUAUUGAUGUACAAAAUGACAACCCAAUUUACACCUCUGAUGGCCUGUACUAUUGUAGAGUUAGCAAUGGAAUUCCAGACAAGCACAACAUUACUUUGCAAACUGGAUUCAAAGAUAUAUAUUUCCCUGGUAAUAUUAUUAACUGAUUUUAUUUUUGCACUAUUACCAAAACAGCUAACCUGUUAUUUGCUAAAAAGCUUUAAUUAAAAUUUGUUACUUAUAUAAGCUUACAUUUGCUAUCAUGGUAUUUUGUUUUUAAAUGUCAAGUCUUCAGUUCCGUGUUAAAACUGUAAUGUAUGCGGCAACAUCACCUUGUUAUAAACCUUGAAUGUUGAAAAGGCAAUAUCAAUCAACGCCUUUGUUAUUUCAAUACCAUUGAACUACUAGUAGAUAUUUGUAUUGAUGGUCCAGCUGAAGAAUCCAGCAUGGGGGUAUGGGAUUAUAUUGCUGUGUUGAAGACCGAUUGGAGGCCUUGUGAUAUUUCUGCUGUUUGGUCGGAUUGUUAUCUCUUAAACACAUUCCCUAUUACCAUUCUCAAUUUAGUAUAUUUACUGAUCUUCCUAUACUUAAAUUAUGGUAUUUGGCAAGCUUGAAUACUAGUAAUUAUCUUAAAUUUCUCAACACUAACUUAUCUGUUUUGCAGGAAAACCUCACUGCUGUUUUAAAACAUGUAAAAUUGAAGAUAAUAUACUUUGGAACAGUUCUGAUUCAGCCAUCAUAACUUUCGACGUAUAUAGCUUUAAUAUAACACAUUUCGAUUGGUACAGGGGAAACGAUAGUCUAAAUCAGAAUUUGGAAUACGAAUUUACAACAAACCCAUCGAUAACCUCCGUAUCCAUAAACGACGUUUUGGUUAGCCUUAAUACAACAAAAAUGUCACUGAAGAUAUCAAAUUUGACAGAAGUUCAUUUCAAUACUCAGUAUACAUUGUAUAUUUAUAAUGAGCAUGGGGAUUCAAGCUGCUCGAUAAUAUUACCGGAAG